CCUUGAAUGUGCUGUCCGUCCA
rnacentral:siRNA from 1 species